AUCCUUUUGUGGUUCAUAAGUGUGAUGAUUGGGUUUUCACACUCAUGUAUGAGAUAUGCCUCCCUCAAAUCCCUGUUAUAGCAUUGGCACAUUACACAUCUGACA
ensembl:snoRNA